rnacentral:rRNA from 1 species
UACGGGGGGGGCAAGCGUUGUUCGGAAUUACUGGGCAUAAAGGGCUCGUAGGUGGCCAACUAAGUCAGACGUGAAAUCCCUCGGCUUAACCGGGGAACUGCGUCUGAUACUGGAUGGCUUGAGUUCGGGAGAGGGAUGCGGAAUUCCAGGUGUAGCGGUGAAAUGCGUAGAUAUCUGGAGGAACACCGGUGGCGAAGGCGGCAUCCUGGACCAACACUGACACUGAUGAGCGAAAGCCAGGGGAGCAAACGGG